UACGGAGGGGGCAAGCGUUGUCCGGACUUACUGGGCGUAAAGGGUGCGUAGGCGGCCUGCUGCGUCGGUGCUGAAAGCGCCCGGCUUAACCGGGCGAGGCGUGCCGAUACGAGCGGGCUGGAGCCUUGGCGAGGGUGGCGGAACUCCUGGUGUAGUGGUGAAAUGCGUAGAGAUCAGGAAGAACACCCGUGGCGCAAGCGGCCACCUGGCCAAGAGCUGACGCUGAGACGCGAAAGCGUGGGGAGCGAACAGG
rnacentral:rRNA from 1 species